rnacentral:rRNA from 1 species
GAACGCUGGCGGCGUGCCUAAUACAUGCAAGUCGAGCGAACAGAUGAGGAGCUUGCUCCUCUGACGUUAGCGGCGGACGGGUGAGUAACACGUGGAUAACCUACCUAUAAGACUGGGAUAACUUCGGGAAACCGGAGCUAAUACCGGAUAAUAUAUUGAACCGCAUGGUUCAAUAGUGAAAGACGGUUUUGCUGUCACUUAUAGAUAGAUCCGCGCCGCAUUAGCUAGUUGGUAAGGUAACGGCUUACCAAGGCAACGAUGCGUAGCCGACCUGAGAGGGUGAUCGGCCACACUGGAACUGAGACACGGUCCAGACUCCUACGGGAGGCAGCAGUAGGGAAUCUUCCGCAAUGGGCGAAAGCCUGACGGAGCAACGCCGCGUGAGUGAUGAAGGUCUUCGGAUCGUAAAACUCUGUUAUUAGGGAAGAACAAAUGUGUAAGUAACUAUGCACGUCUUGACGGUACCUAAUCAGAAAGCCACGGCUAACUACGUG